AAUAUAACAAAGAAACCUAUAUAAAAUCACAGCUGACGGUCUGUACGGUGAAUUAACCACAAUCUGAAUAAAAUAUAACAAAGAAACUAAACUAUAAAAUCACAGCUGACAGUCUGUACGGUGAAUUAACCGCAAUCUGAAUAAAUAUAUAACAAAGAAAGUAUAAAAUCACAGCUGACGGUCUGUACGGUGAAUUAACCUGCAAUCUGAAUAAAAUAUAACAAAGAAAGUAUAAAAUCAC